AACCGUUUGGAGCCAGACUGGCUUGACUGUAAUCAAUCUAGGCUUCGGCCUGGAUGCACUUGCGGUUUAUGCCUGCCAACGACAAUUUUUUUUGAGGGAAAAAACUAUUAGGAAUGUGGCCCCCUCGGGGGUGUUAUAGCCUUUUAGAAAAUACCUUGAAUUGGAUUGAGGAACGCAGUGAAUGCCUUUAGGCAAGAUUGCUGGGCGCUUUCGCUAAUAAAUGCUAGAAUUUCUGCUUCGGGUGGUGCUAGUGUUUAAAGGAGAAACUCGUUUAGUAUAUUUUUUAUUCGCUUAGGUUGUUGGCUUAAUGACUCUAAAUGA
rnacentral:rRNA from 1 species